CUAGCUGAUGAGCAAAAGGUGUUUGUCAGCCAUAAGGCAAUCUUUUUGAAAAAAGAGUUCCUUGGUGAAGGGACUAUUGCCUCAAAAGUCGAACUUGAGAAAGUUCGACAGGUGAAAAAAUUGACACAAGUUGCUGAACCUGAACUGGAUUUGGUUAGAUCAGAUCCAGAGCCCAUUGUUCCUACACCCUUAAGGCGGUC
rnacentral:lncRNA from 1 species